rnacentral:rRNA from 1 species
AUUGAACGCUGGCGGCAGGCUUAACACAUGCAAGUCGAGCGGAGAUGAGGUGCUUGCACCUUAUCUUAGCGGCGGACGGGUGAGUAAUGCUUAGGAGUCUGCCUAUUAGUGGGGGACAACAUUCCGAAAGGAAUGCUAAUACCGCAUACGCCCUACGGGGGAAAGCAGGGGAUCUUCGGACCUUGCGCUAAUAGAUGAGCCUAAGUCGGAUUAGCUAGUUGGUGGGGUAAAGGCCUACCAAGGCGACGAUCUGUAGCGGGUCUGAGAGGAUGAUCCACCACACUGGGACGGAGACACGGCCCAGACUCCUACGGGAGGCAGCAGUGGGGAAUAUUGGACAAUGGGCGGAAGCCUGAUCCAGCCAUGCCGCGUGUGUGAAGAAGGCCUUUUGGUUGUAAAGCACUUUAAGCGAGGAGGAGGCUACUAGUACUAAUACUACUGGAUAGUGGACGUUACUCGCAGAAUAAGCACCGGCUAACUCUGUGCCAGCCGCCGCAGUAAUAC